rfam:Canis lupus familiaris chromosome 2, whole genome shotgun sequence.
AUAGCUUCUCGGCCUUUUGGCUAAGAUAAAGUGUAGUAUCUGUUCUUCUCAGUAAGAAGCAGUCUAAGAGCCAUGUUUUCCAAGUUAUUGUAGUGCUGGCAUUUUACGAACAAAUCUUUUGGGCAGUUUUUAUUAGUGUGAAUUUAUUAGGUAAUUUUAAAUUAUAAGAUACACAUAUUAUAAAUUGAGAAAUUAAU